UCAGGACGUCAUUGGCGCGCGGGGUCCGCCCAGUCCCCUCCCACUACAUCGUAGUGGGCUGCGGUGCGCUCACAUCUGCCUGCCUUUGGUUUCUCUAGGAUCAGCAGGCCUAGAUCUCUGUAAAAUUCAAAAUAUAAUUUUAUGUAACAAAUAUUUUUUAAUAAUGACAUGGUUUCCAACAUAAAUUAUUUUACAAAAUUAAUUGAUUAGGCUGCUUUAUUUUUUUAAAUUGUUUUUUUUGGAAUAGCGGUAGCCUAAGCAAUAGGCCAAUAAUCUAUAGGACUUUUUAAAGAUUAAUAUUAUUUAUUUUUGCAUCACCAAUAUUUCUUCAGAAACCGACUUGAAUAAGCAUGCUUUAGUUAAUUGAACAUUAUAUACAGAACACGUUUUCCAAUUAGCUGAUAAGCAGACAGCAAAUUGCACUACAAUGAGUUAUUAAAAUGUGGAAUAUGUUUAAAAUUCUUAAAAUUUACGUAUUUGAAGCAAAAUUGCUCUUUAUUCAAAACCAAGCUGCUGAUUUCUUUAAAAAGAUAGACAGGAACAUGGGCAGGAUGUUUAUACAGCAAAACGUAAACAUUUUCCCUGGCCUUCUUUAAAUAAAAAAAAUCAAGCAAAAAGCCCCGCUAGAUCAGCUAAUACUCAAUCUGAUGCAUUAUGUCCGUUUUAGACAGCGCCUUGUGUGUGAAUAUGACUUUACAACAGAAAGCAAGUAAGCUUUUUCAAUUAUGUAUAGUGAUUAUAUUAUAUUCACACAGAAGAACUGGAGGAAGAGUGCCCUGUGCCUAUUCCAGAACUCCAAGCACUGAAAUUCAGAUGAGGACUUCAGAUCGUCUUCCACCAAACUAUUUCAGAAUGCUGCUCAAAUCAAGACCUGUUGGAUGAAGCAGAGGAGACCCAAUUCCUUUGACCUGUAAAUCUCUAAAAGGAUUCCAUCUCUUAGUCAGUGCUAAUGAAAAUGAAAAGGCUGAAAUGUGCAAGCUUGAUGGUUUGACCACAGGAAGCUGUGAACUCCGCUGAGAAUUGAGGUUUCAGGGCCCUGAAGGCGACUAGGGGCAUCUACUGUACCUUGUUAAAUCCCAUAAUCCUGCUGGAUGACCCUUGACCCCGGCGUGUUUAUAUCAGGCCAUCGAUGUGAGAAAUCAUGAUGAGUCACUCUGGUGGUGUGUUUACGUUCUGGAGUCACGCAAGGAAGGAAAUAAGGCACGGUCUGCUAAAAGUGGCGAGGUGAGAGAGAAUAGCAGAAGUCCGGGAGCAGAGGCGUGAUUCAUCUCACCGUGACUGGCCUCUUAUACCGUUACAUACUGUUACACUUGGUUUAUUUAACCUGUUCACUUCUGUAGGUACACUCUAGCUACAUAUCAGCCACAACAAGGACCCAAUAGCCUACUUUGUUAAAAUAUCACAUGUAGAAAUUUAGAAGUGUAAUUCUGUAAAUUAGGUCUGAGUUGAGGAGUGAAAUGAUCCUUGUAAUAUAUAUGUCAUACGUGGAUUCGUCUUGUUUUGGAAUACACAUAAUAUGUUGGUAGAUUAUAGACACAGCAGCAUGUAUUAUUUUUAUGUAAAACAUUUACGAUUAGUGUGUUUAAAUCAUUCAGUUUUUUUUGUGCAAUGUCCAAUACAAUUAAAUCAGCAGAGAUAUUGAAAAGCAUGUCUUUGUAUUGUGCAAUCAUUUCAAAUGAUAUGUUCAUGCCGUUUUUCGGUUUAUGAAUGGGAAAUAAUUUCUCACCCUGUCAAACACAGAUUAAUACAUUCAUCUCCUUCAUCACCUUCCAGUGUGACAGUAGACAGCACUCCUUAAUAGAUAUUUUUUGGAGGGGUACUUACAUUGGGCUUAAGAAGAAUAUACUGUAUGUUGAAACUGUAAUGAGUAUGCAACCUAGCCAGCUCCUGUGAUUGAAAUACAAUGUCCUGGCCUGUCAUGAUGCUUUAGCCUUCCACACUGUGGGCUUGUGUGAUUGCACAAUUGUUGUUUUUGAGCCUG